rnacentral:rRNA from 1 species
UACGGAGGAUGCGAGCGUUAUCCGGAUUUAUUGGGUUUAAAGGGUGCGUAGGCGGCUUUUUAAGCCAGCGGUGAAAUUUUGCAGCUUAACUGUAACAGUGCCGUUGAUACUGGGGAGCUAGGAUUUGGUUGCUGUGGGUGGAAUGUGUGGUGUAGCGGUGAAAUGCUUAGAGAUCACACAGAAUAUCGAUUGCGAAGGCAGCUCACAAAGCCAAGAUUGACGCUGAGGCACGAAAGUGCGGGGAUCAAACAGGAUUAGA